CGCCGGGAGCUUUUCUUCUUCCGUUAUACUUUUUGUGAUCUGCAAACUGCGCUCGUGAUACUCGAAGAUAGUCUGAUCUCAUUAUUGUGCUUCAUAUCUAUUUUAAACAAUACUGAGGUACGUGGUCUGAUCUUUCAGGUUAAUGGAGGAAGGAGAAAACAGAAACACGGGCAUUAGCAUCUCCAAUUAGAGGUCCGCGAUGGCAGUUUGAGCUCGAAGCAUUUCUCCGGCAAGUCCCAAGAACAGAAAACUAAAUCGCUGGUCCAGGAGAUCAAAAACAAAAAGGAGGAGUUGCCCAUUCCGACCACACAAACAAGUGUUUGCAGCCCUCACAAUUACUUGUUCGAGGUGGAGACAUCGAGCCGCAUAGACCUGCAAAAAGAAAGGGUUCCCCUUUGCCAAGUGCUUGACGCCGAAAGCCUGUACCGUUCUUCACCACCCUUUACAACCCCUCUGAAACUUUCUUCAGCAGGUCAUCAUGCGUGCAGAGAUGAGGGCUUCAGUCAAAGACACCAUGAUAUGCCUCUCGUUCGUAGCUUAGCAGAGUCCCCACCAUGUGAGCUGUAGCAUACCACUCUCUUCCUUUUCUCAACUUUCAAGCUUACCUGCGUGAGAUGCAAUCUGGCUGAGAGAGUUCCUCGGAUUAAUAGUCAUGGGUUUCUCUUUGGAAGCUUUUUAUGAACUGAAUCAUUCUUGAAUAUAUAAAUCCUAUGGACUUUUAGGUCACAGACACUUCGGAUCAGAAAUGCAAUCUUACCCUUUCCUGAUUUCAAUGUAAUAUUAAGCCUCAUUCUCUUUUGAUCAAACUACUCGUGAUCUACACUCCAUUCUUUAAACUCGUGUUCAGGCACCAUGUCCUGAUUACAAAAGUAUUACAUGAAUUGGCCUUUACCCUUUCCACAGUACAUUGCACACAGAAGUCAGUGGUGUUUCGUGGAGAAUUACCCCACAACAUUAGAAGCUCAAGCUCAGGAAGAUGCUUCAAUUCAGAGACCAAAGCAGGUGAUCAAUCACUGCUGGCGGUCAAGGCUGCAGUGAUAAGGAACAGACGCAGACCAACUGAACUUUGGAGAACGGCAGCAUCUCCCUCGUGCCCAAAAGCUUCACAGACCGACGACCCUCCUCACACUCGUGAGCUGUAUUCAAGAAAAAUAGAAGAUCAAAAGAGAGUCACGGGAGCAAAAAAGAAUCAAUUUUCAGUUCAUUAGAGUUAGUAAUGACCUUUUGGACAGAGCUUAAAAGAAACGAGAAGGCUUUGCACCCCGGAGGGUCUUCUACUAAAAGCUGACGAGCUGCACCAUUCCUAGGGUUCCACAAUGGGGGUCCCAGCCCUAGGAUCUUCCCCUCUUCUCAGAUUCCUCUCGAUUGAGGCGUGGAGGUGUGAUUCUUGGGCAGCUUAGCAGCGUCGAGGCGUCUGCUUCUGAUUUUGGUAGACUGAUUCGGAAAAAAGUAGGUUAAGAUAUGCUCAUGGCUUGUUUCUGUUGAUUAUGAAAAAAUUUGAACAAUCUACUGAAGAUAGUAAUCAGGAGAAGAUGGUGGGCAUACUGCAAUUCUUUGAUAUCGGACAAGCUUGCUCAUCCUGCAAGUCUUUGAUGCUUAGUAGCAGACGCAAUAAUGGUCUUGAAGCUCCUAGAAAUACCUUGGAGUUUCCCAUGAAAAUGUAUCAGAGUUUUCAAGUCGUUCAUGAGGAGAUUCUACAUGGAACUGAUACCGAAAGGUUGAUUGCUGAGGAGAUUCCACAGAUAACAAAGGAUCAAUGUAACAGACCAAGUGUUGUAGCCCGACUAAUGGGAAUGGAUGCGCUACCUUCAGACAUCAAGCCAUUGCUUUGUGCUGAGCAGUUGAAUGAUGAGAAGGGACCAAGAAAGGAGCCCAGCACUACCUCUAAUCAACAGGCCUCACUUGCCUUGAAAUCCAUGAGAUAUUCAAAUACGGAGUUAUUUCCUUACAAUAUCAAACAAGAUUUUGAUCAGCACACCAGGAAGCUUGAGAUGAACAAACCACAGACAUGCGAACAUCCGCAAGAAGAAUUGCUGCAGAAGUUCAAAAGAGAAUUUGAGGCAUGGCAAGCAUCCAAGGUAUGGGAGAAGUCAGUGACCCUUGAACUGGGUAAUGAUCGUGAAAAGAAAAAAUAUAUAAGCACACUUCCACAAGAAGGUGUCGAGAAAGAGAAAGUGUCCAGGCAUGUGGAUCACAAGAGAAGUUCAUUUGUAACGAAAACCACAGAGACCAGAUGGCAUGUUCCAACAGCUAGACCAAACAUGAAUCAGGAACAAGAUGAUCUUCUGAAAUAUGAGGCUUUUGCAAGUGAACAUAAUGAAAAUGCCCUAACAGAGGAGAAUUCUCCCAGGGACAACAGAAGUAGUUUCUUCGCUCCCCAAUAUGAUCAUAGGAUGAAUAUGUCUGCUUCACCUCGAAGGAUAGUAAUUCUUAAACCUUGUUAUGAGAUGUACCAUAAAACUGAAGAGUCCUUAGGCUCAUGAGUGAUGGUAGAUAAAGAAAAGAACAUGCAUGAUUUUCUUGAACAGGUAAAGGAAAGAUUGAUUGUUGAACUACAAUGGAAGCCUAGAUUUGAGACUGCAACUGAUUGGACUAGGCCUGAGGCUUUUGUCACUAAAGGAUUCGCUGAUUCUAAAUAUUUGGUACCAAAAUGUCUUAAGCAAAAUAGAGGCGAUUCUGAGGAUAACAAGGCUACCCUAAUGCGACCAAAAUCAACAAGGACAUAUAGAAAUGAAAUCCAACCUAGUGAAAAAGCUUCCCCGGAGAUUAUCGACCAAGAAAUGAUAACACCAUUGUCAGAGAGGGUGAAGAAUGUCCUGAAGGAUGAAACAGAUAUAAGGUAUCCAUUUAAUUCCAGUAGUACGCUGACUAUGUCACUCUCAAGCAAAGAAGCAGAGAAAUUCAAUUUAAUUCAGCAAUUUGGCAAGAAGGUAACCUCCUGGGAUGAUACGAAAGCCCUAAUUGGAUCCAAAUCUUUUAAACAAGACCAGGGGCAUGCAUUUGAUGAUGGGGAGGAGUCUUCAAGAAAUCUUGUCAGAUCAUUUUCUGCUCCUGUUUCUGGAAUUGCUUUUGGGAAACUACUUUUAGAAGACAAGCAUUCAAUGGCAUCAGUACUCACUUGUAGGAAACAUGAAGUAUCUCAAAAUGACUUAAUGGAAGCCAGGAAAAACAAGAAUGGUGCUUUUGACAUGAAAAGCAGAGUUACAUGUUUGAGACAGAAUUUCACAUUAAAGGAAAAGCUUUUCAGGAAGAGGAUCCAAUUGAUGGAUGAAUUAGCUGAAGAUGAAUUUCCAUCCAUGAAGACGACUGAAAACACACCAUUUGUUUUGAUGAACUUAGGCUUUGCACAGGAUAACUCAACUGAGGUGCCACCAAGCCCAGCAUCGGUGUGCCGCAGUUCACAUGAUGACAAUUGCAGGCCCUACUAUCCAAGUCCAGUAUCUCCACUGGAGGCACUUCUCCAUGAAGAUUAUCCUUCCUCGACAGCUUCUGGAGAACCAAAUCUUCCAGAAUCAAGUUUGUCAGAAGAAUUCAAGAAUGAUAGAUCUGGAGACAUAACAGAUGAAAUAAAACCAGCCAAAGAUGAACUUCUUGAGUUGGAAAGCAAUGCAAAAGCUUAUGUAAGAGAGAUCCUCUUUAGGUCUGGCCUGUUCAACAGAAACCACUUUGAUCAGGUCCUUUGGGAGUCUGACACUCUAAUGAAACCAAUAUCUAUGUCGGUCUUUCAUGAAGUCGAGGAAACAUAUCGAAGAAAUGGCAAGCUGGAAUGUAUGGCAUUCCUCGUACAUAAUGGCCAAACUGAUUUAGGUCAUAGAAUUCUAUUUGAUCUACUGAAUGAAGCAUUGCUGAGGGUUGUGCAGAAUUCAAAGCCUCACUCAACAGUCAAGAAAUGGUUUCCAGGCUGCAGAAGAUUACCGCAUGGAAACCAAAUCUUAGACAGUCUCUGGCAUCAGAUUCAACUCUACAUCAAUCCACAUGUGGAUGAAUCAUAUCCUACAAAAAGCAUCGUCGCCCAAGCUCUGAAUCGGACUCCCUGGUCUGGUAUGUUGCAAGACAACAUCGACGUGAUCUGUGUAGAGAUGGAGUUUUCGGUUGCGGAAAUUUUGAUCGAUGAGUUCGUGUGCGAUUUGUCAUAUUAAUUUAAUGUUUGGUGAACAAAAUCUUUUAUAGAGUGAAAUCUUGUUCUACACUGCUUGUCGGAAAGCUUAAGCUUUUAGGUGCAAUAACAUUGAUCGAAAUCUUGUUCUACACUGCUUGGCGCCGCCCCGCAUGCUCAAGGAUUGCAGCAGCACACCGCGUGUGCCGCAGUUCCCCUCCGCCGGCCGAGCACCCGCAGGAAACAAGACAACGGAAUUACGAUUGCCGUAACCAGCAAGGAGGAAGGACAAGAGAAGGAACGGCUGGGAUCACCUGCAGGCGUCGCCGCCGGGGCACGGGACGGCGCAGCCGCACCCGUUGUUGCAGCCCCUAUCCGCCAUCGAUCAAAGUCCACCGCGGCCGGUCUCUCUCUACUGGUCGA